rnacentral:rRNA from 1 species
GAAGGGGUGCAAACGUUAUUCGGAAUCAUUGGGUGUAAAGGGUGCGUAGACGGUGUGCCAAGCUUGUUGUUAAAUCCUCCCGGGCCUAACCGGGAGAAUUGCAGUGAGAAACUGGCAUGCUCGAGGAUGGAAGAGAGAAGUGGAAUUCCCGGAGUAGCGGUAAAAUGCGUAGAUCUCGGGAGGAACACCGAUGGCGAAGGCAGCUUCUUGGUCCAUUCCUGACGUUGAGGCACGAGAGCGUGGGGAGCAAACAGGAUUAGAUACCCUGGUAGUCCACGCCGUAAACGAUAAUCACUAGACGUUGGACUGGCUUUGCUAGUUCAGUGUCGAAGCUAACGCGUUAAGUGAUUCACCUGGGGAGUACGGUCGCAAAGAUUA